UUAAAAUAAUUUUAUAUAUCUAUACACUUAAAUAUAAAUACUGAUAUACUGAAAAGGUUUAAUAUUUCACCCCAGUUCCCUCUGGGCCCUUCAUAUCUAAAAGGAGUUUAGGGUUUCCUCUCUUAACUCGCAUUGUUUACCAUCAGAGACACAAUUACCUCUCGGCCAAGAAGAAAACCCAUCUCAUUUUUGAAUAAAGGAGGAGAUUUAAAAGAGGUAGCAGAGGUCUAUGUCCCAGAAGUUGAAGUUUGAGUAACAUUAAGGUACAAUCGUUUUUUUUUUGUGUUGGUUUGAUUCAGUUUCUUUUUGGGUCAAUUUGACUUUUCUCUUGCACAUCAUUAUUCAUGAAAAACUCACAUUUCCCGUUAAUUCCAAUUUCUGUGCUACCGAAGCAACAAAAUAAACAAAUUCCGACAAUUUCAGUUCUUGCUGACUUUUUAUUUCUAGGGUUUGGUUGAUUCUCGCAGAUAUAGUUGCAUCGAGGUGAGCUGAAGUCACUCCUUUCUAACUUAGGGUUUCGUUAUUACACCGUUUUUGCAUUUUGUCAAACUUUUUGGCUCUCUAAACAUCUAUGGCUUUGUUGCCCUUGAAGUUUUUGGCUCUGUUCAUUUCUGCUUAUAGAACAGGGGGCCGGCCGCGACCAGUGCCACUUUUCUUCAAUUUGAGAAAAUUUCCCUGGUUGAGGUUAAGUUAAAACUAGUCCUUGUUCUCAUGGUUAUCGUUUAUGUUCUGCUUUUAAUGAUGAAUUUUAUUUAGCCACUGAAUUGUGUAUGUAUUGUUACUACAUCUAAUUAGUUGUUUUCUUACAUUUUUAUUUCUAUCAAUUCUUUGUUCUGCUUUUCUUUUGUUUAUUUCAAUUCUUGGUUUUGCUUCUCUUUCUGCUCUCGCUGUGCACAUGCUUGUGUUUUUAUUUUUGACCUUGUAUCUUUUUUCUUGGUAUUUGGUUCUUUGAUUGGUUUUGGGAGGAAGAAAGAGUAGAAGCAAUAUGAAAAAUUGAAGUACUCUGUUCUGGUUUCCUCUUUGAAUAGAAUGUAAUCUAUAUGCAUAAGAGGAAGACAGGACAUAAUGCGGAACAUAAUUUAUAUCCUUAAUAUUAAUGUGGCGAGACAAACAAUGCAGAACGUAUUUAUAUCCGGUUUUAUCAUGGAGCAAAGGGAGGAGCAUGAUUCUAAAAAUUCAAGAAAAUGCAAUACUACACUUCUUAGCUUACUAUUUUAAUGUCUUUAGUCUUAUCUUUAUAUCAGCUUCUUUAUCUAAAAUAGUUUUAUUAAGCAUCUAAAGAUGGACUUCUGGUCAUUCGUUAACCUUCUCCAUAAAUGAUGAAGAGAGAAAAGCGUGUCUAAUUUUAAAAUGAGAAAGGAGCUAUGUAUAUGCUAAGGAUUUUUAAGAACUAAAAGAGUUUAAGAUUGACACAAUUUAUGCUUUUCUUGUUUGUACCGAACUACAAGUAACCAAUAACUAUGUUCAGCAAUGUAAGCACAGCUAUACUGGGUUGUAAAGAUAUACCAUCCACAUUAAACACUUAUCUGAUGCAAGUAUAACUAUAAUAUUACAGAUUGGUGGUUUUAGAUCAAGAUACUAUACAUUCAUUGUAAGCAUGCUUUCUUAUUUUUCUUCGGUUAUGGCUCACUUUAUGUGAUGACUCAAAAUGUCAUCAUUUGAUUUACAAGUAAAUUCUGUAUUUCGAGACUUUAAAAGCCUCUUUUUAUUUUAUCCCGAUUUGCGUGCACGGUUUGGGCGUAUAUCCGGAACGCUUUUAUGUGAAAAUAUGAUGAAAAUGCUAAUUUGGCCUUUAAAAUUGAAUUUAAGUUGACUUCGGUCAAUAUUUUGGGUACACGGAUCUGAACCCGUGAUUUGACGGUCCCGGAGAGUCCGUAGAAAAAUAUGGGACUUGGACGUAUGUCCGGAAUUGAAUUUCGAGGUCCCAAGUUCGAAAAAUGAAUUUUUGAAGAAAAUUGUUUAACUGAAAUUAUAAGAGUUUUUGGAAAUUUAAAUGUGUUUGAAUUUGACGGUAUGGGCCCAUAUUUUGGUUCCGGAGCCCGAUAUAGGUCUUAUAUGGUAUUUAAGUCAAGCCUGUAGAAUUAGGUAAGAAACGAACUUGAUAUGAUGUGAAUCGGACCCUCGGUUGUUAAAAUUGGAACUAAAGAGUUCUUGAGAUUCUUUUUUGAUUUUGAUACUAAAUUCGUUGUUAAAGGUGUUAAAUUUGACGAUUUGAUCGCACGAAUAAGUCCAUAUGAUGUUUUUGAGUUAGUGUGCAUGUUUGGUUUGGAGCUACGAGGGCUCGCUUGAGUUUUGGAUAGGCUGUGGGAUGUUUUUACACUUAGGAAAAAUUGCAGGUUUGCUGUUUCUAGUGUGCUGGUGUUUUGUUCUUCGCGUUCGCGAAGGGACUCUCGCGAACGCGAAGGGUAAGUUAGUCUGAAGGAAAAUUCCUUAUACGCGAACGCGAAACACAGGUCGCGAACACGAAGCCUUGUGGGUGUUACUCUUCGCGAACGCGAAGGCCUUUUGGUCGGGGAUUGGGGGAAGGGAUUUUGUUCUACGCGAACGCGGCCAUUUGAUCGCGAAUGCGAAGGCCAUUUGGGCCUGACCCAUUGCGAACGCGAUGAAGGCCCGCCCAGUCAUUUUAAAACAGAUUUCAAAACGGGCAAAACUCAUUUUCUCCAUAUUUUCGAACUCCCAAGGCCUAGAGGCGAUUUUCUUCACACAAAUUCAUUCCCAAAGUGUUGGUAAUCAAUUUUAAACUUUUACUCUUUCAAUUACCCAAUGUUUUUCAUCAUUUUUAAUCAAAAAUCAAGAGUUUUCAUGGUAGAAAUUAGGAAUUUGGGUAAAGUUAGUGCUUUUUGAAUAAUUGAAAUUUAGACCUCGUUUAAGGGUCGAAUUUCGAAACUAAUUGCAUAUUUGGGCUCGUGGGUAAAUGAGUGAUCGGGUUUUGGUCUGAACCUUGAGUUUUAAUCAAGCGGGCCUGGGGUCGAUUUUUGACUUUUUGAGAAGAAUGAUAGAAACCUAUAAUUUGGCAUUGGGGUUGAAUUCUUUAGCAUUUAUUGAUGUUAAACUAAUUUGGGCUAGAUACGAGCAAAUUGGAGGCGAAUUCUAAAGGAAAAGCGGUGUUUGAGACUUGAGUUGGCCGUGAAAAUUCGAGGUAAGUAUUUUGGUCUAACCUUAGCUUGAGGGAAUAUGUAUUGUGCUUUAAUUGCUAUGUGCUAGUGUAGUAUACGAUGUAUAAGUGUGGUGACGAGUAUCUAUACGUCGUUGUCAAGUAUGCUCGUGAAUCUUAAAUUGUAAUCGUUGUGUUUCUUAAUAAGUAUUACAAAUGCCCAAGUGGUUGAUUCUCCGUGUUGGGCAAGAAUUAUGAUUAUUCUCUUGGUAAUUGUUUACGGUUGAGUAUUGGUUCCAGUUGAGGUUUUAUUUGUGAAGUUAAAUGUUGGUACAAGUUUGGUUAUAGCUGAUUCCCUUGUCGGGACGUAUUUCAUUCUUAUUGUUGGUUCUCUUAUCGGAAUGUGUUUAUUCUCAUUGUUGAUUCCCUUGUCGGGAUAUUGUUGUUCCUUAUUGUUCCCUUUUCGAGAUUCUUUUGUGAUUGAUGUUGAGUUGUAUAUUAGGAUUGGGUUGUACGCCACAACAAUACUAUAUAAGAUCGGGUUGCACGCCGCAACAUGGAGCAAUAAGGGAGGACAAGAGGGGUCGGGUUGCACGCCGCAACAGUGAGAUAUGAUUGGAUCGGGUUGCACGCUGUAACAGUGAUAUAUGAUUUGGAUCGGGUUCCGCGCCGCAACAAUAAAGAAUAGAAAUGGAUAUUGAUUUGUUACUAUUUCUUUGUUCUUACUGAUGCGAACUUUAAAAUGUUUUUUACGCUUUUCUACUGAGUUACUGUUGGUACAUGAUAUUUCCCCGCAGUAUGUUUCCCUUUCCAUCUUUACCUGCUAGUUUUUGUUAUUAUUACUUGUCGUAUAUGCUUUAACUGCACAAGUUUAUUUGGUAGUCUUGUCCUAGUCUCGUCACUGCUUUGUUGAGAUAGGCUCGACACUUACUAGCACAUAUGGUCGGUUGUGCUGAUAUUACACCCUGCACUGUGUGCAGAUCUCGAUACCGGAGCUUUUGGACCUUAGAGUGGUUGCUGCCUUCAGUCUAGCGGAGACCCGAGGUAGCCCUAUAGAUGUUCACAUGCCUUGGCGUCCCCUUUAUCCUUAUAUUCUGUUUUCAUUUACUUGAGAGACAGAUUGUAUCUUUCUUUCCAAACAAUUGUUUGUAGUAUUCGUAGAUGGUCCGUGAUAUUGUGACACCAGUUCUAAGUAGAGAUAUAUUUUGUAUUUUUCGUACUAUUAUUUGGCUAAGUUAUCAGAUUUCGUCUUUCGCAUUUCUUUAAUUAUUAUUAUUAUUCCGCUGUUGAUUGCAUGUUGAUUUAAAAUUGUUAAAAGGUUAAGAAAAAAAGUAAUAAGAUAUAUAAUAUCUUUAGGUUGUUUAGGUUUCACAAUUCACGGACACGUUUGGUAGAGUCUGAGGGAUCGGUACGGAGAUGUUUGUGCUUAUCCCCAGAGGCUAUAUAGUUAGGAACAGUUUCACUUCUAUUCAUCUCUUUCGUGUGGUUUGGUUUCUCAAUGCUAAUUGAAUUUCUACUCUAUUCUUUCGAGAUGACGAGAACACACGCUUCUUCAUCCACUGACCAGUAGCUCGAGCCCCUAGCGGCAGUUUCCACGAGGGGCAGAGAACGAGGUCCAGGUCGUGCUAGGGGCCGAGGAAGGGGCAGAGCUUAACCUAGUGCAGCAACAGGGUUCCUGUGCUAUGGUUCAGGCACCAAGUGUUCCACCGCCCGAUCAACCAGCUAGGGGUUAGAGUAGAGGUGCUAGAGGUAGAGGUAGAAGUCAGGCUGCUAUAGGUGGAGGCCAGCCAGCAGGAGGUCGUCCCAGGGAUGUAGCUCAGAGUGGUGGGGCCCAGCCCCGAUGUUAUGCUCUUCCAGCCAGGACCGAGGCUGAGACCUCCAAUGUAGUUAUCGCAGGUACCGUUUUGGUCUGUAGUAGAGAUGCUUCAGUUCUAUUUGAUCCAGGGUCUACAUACUCCUAUGUGUCAUCUUAUUUUGCCCUGUAUCUAGUUACGCCUAGUGAAUCUGAGUGCUCAUGUAUAUGUGUCUACACCGAUGAGUGAUUCUAUUGUGGUGGAUCGUGUCCAUCGUUCAUGUAUAGUUGUGAUUGGGGGUUUUGAGACCCGAGUAGAUCUGUUACAUUUGGAUAUGGUCGAUUUUGAUGUCAUAUUGAGGAUGGACUGGUUAUCACCCUACCACGCUAUCUUGGACUGUCAUGCCAAGAACCUUAGCCUUGUCGGGUGGAGAAGGACUCCUGGUUAUUCUACCCGUAGGGUUAUCUCAUAUAUGAAGGAUCGGCGUAUGGUUGAGAAGAGAUGUUUGGAAUAUUUGGCGUAUGUUUAUGAUUCUAGUGCCGAGGUUCCUUCUAUGGAUUAUGUGCCUGUUGCACGUGGUUUCAAGAGGUAUUUUCUGCAGACCUGUCGGGUAUGCCGCCUGAUAGGGAUAUUGACUUUUGCAUUGAUUUGGCUCCGAACACUCAUCCCAUUUCUAUUUCGUCGUAUCGUAUGGCCCCGCCAGAGUUGAAAGAAUUGAAAGAAUAGUUGCAAGACUUGCUUGAUAAAGGCUUCAUUAGACCUAGUGUCUCGCCUUGGGGUACGCUGGUGUUGUUUGUUAAGAAGAAGGAUGGAUCGAUGAAUACAUGUAUAGAUUAUCGGCAGUUGACCAAGGUCACAAUCAAGAAUAAGUAUCCAUUGCCGAGGAUUGAUGAUUUGUUUGAUUAGCUUCAGGGUGCCAAGGUGUUUUCGAAGAUUAAUUUGAGAUCUGGCUACCAUCAGUUGAGGAUUAGGGCGUCUGAUGUCCCUAAGACAACUUUUCGCACUCGGUACAAGCAUUAUGAGUUCUUAGUGAUGUCAUUUGGGUUGACAAAUGCCCCAACAACUUUCAUGGUCUUGAUGAACCGAGUGUUCAAGCCUUAUUUGGAUUCCUUCGUGAUUGUCUUCAUUGAUAAUAUUUUGAUCUAUUCCCGCAGUCGGGAGGAGCACGAGCAGCAUCUUCGAGUUGUUUUUCAGACUCUGAGGGAUAGUCAGUUGUAUGCCAAGUUUUCAAAGUGUGAGUUUUGGUCGAGUUCGGUUGCAUUAUUGGGUCAUAUUGUAUCAGUAGACGCUAUUCAGGUGGAUCCUAAGAAGAUUGCGGCAGUCAAGGACUGGCCUAAACCCACAUCAGCUACAGAGAUCCAAAGUUUCUUGGGUUUGGCGGGCUAUUACCGUCGGUUUGUGGAGGAGUUUUCAUCGAUUGCAACCCCGAUGACCAGGUUGACCUAGAAGAGUGACCAGUUCAGAUGGUCAGAUGAGUGUGAGGCGAGCUUUCAGAAGCUCAAGACAGCUUUGACUGCGAUACUAGUGUUGGUUUUGCCCACAGGUUCAGGGCCAUAUACAAUAUAUUGUGAUGCAUCGUGUAUUGGACUUGGUGCGGUACUGAUGCAGAAUGACAAGGUUAUUGCAUAUGCUUCGCGACAGCUGAAGAUCCACGAGAAGAAUUAUCCAGUUCAUGAUUUGGAGUUAGCAGUCAUUGUUCACGCGCUGAAGAUUUGAAGGCAUUAUUUGUAUGGUGUGUCAUGUGAGGUGUUCAUGGAUCACAAGAGUUUACAAUACUUAUUCAAGCAGAAGGAGCUAAAUUUGAGGCAGAGGAAGUGGUUGGAGCUGUUGAAAGACUAUGAUAUCACCAUCGUGUAUCAUCCGGGAAAGACCAAUGUGGUGGCCGAUGCAUUGAGUAGGAAAUCAGCUAGUAUGUGCAGCCUUGCGUAUAUUCCAGUCGGUGAGAGAUGACUUUCUUUGGAUGUUCAAGUUUUGGCCAAUCAGUUCGUGAGGUUGGAUGUUUCUGACCCAGCCGUGUUCUAGCUUACUCAGUCGCUCUUUCUUCAUUAUUUGAGCAUAUCCGAGAUCAGUAGUAUGAUGAUCCUCAUUUUCUUGUCCUUAGAGACAAGAUGUGGCAUAGAGGUGCCAAGCAGGUUACAGUUGGAUAUGAUGGAGUUUUGAGGAUGCAGGGUCGUAUUUGUGUGCCUAAUGUAGAUGUGCGUCGUGAGUUGAUUUUAGAGGAGGCUUAUAGUUUCUGGUAUUCUAUUCAUCCGGGCGCCGCUAAGAUGUAUCAGGAUUUGCGGCAACAUUAUUGGUGGUGAAGGGUGAAGAAGGACAUUGUUUUCUAUGUAGCUCGGUGUUUAAAUUGUCAGUAGGUAAAAUACGAGCAUUAGAGACCUGGUGAUUUAUUUCAGAAGAUUGAGAUUCCUGAGUGCAAGUGGGAGCGGAUCACUAUGGACUUUGUUGUUGGACUCCUACGGACUCAGAGGAAGUUCGAUGUCGUAUGGGUUAUUAUUGAUAGGAUGACCAAGUCAGCGUAUUUCAUUCUUGUGGUAGUCUCCUAUUAUUCCGAGAGGUUAGCUGAGAUCUAUAUUCGGGAGAUUAUUCGUCUUCAUGGUGUACCCGUGUCUAUUAUUUCUGACCGAGGUACGCAGUUCACCUCGCUUUUUUGAAGUCCGAGCACAACAUUUCAUCCCAGACUGACGGACAGUCCGAGCGUACUAUUCAAAUUUUGGAGGAUAUGCUCCGAGCUUGUGUUAUGGACUUUGGAGGUUCGUGGGAUCAGUUCUUGCCUUUAACAGAGUUUGCCUACAACAACAGCUACCAGUCGAGCAUUUAGAUGGCUCCCUAUGAGGCAUUAUAUGGUAGGCGGUGUUGGCCACUAGUUGGAUGCUUUGAGCCAGGAGAGGCUCGGUUGUGGGUACAAAUUUAGUCUAGGAUGCCUUGGAUAAGGUGAAGAUUAUUUAGGACAGGCUUCGUGCAGCUCAGUCCAGGCAGAAGAGUUACGCCGACCACAAGGUUCGUUAUAUGGCAUUUAUGGUCGGAGAACAGGUGUUGCUCCGAGUGUCGCUCAUGAAGGACGUGAUGAGAUUUGGGAAGAAGGGCAAGCUAAGCCCUAGGAUCAUUGGUCCUUUUGAGAUUCUUGAUCGAGUAGGAGAGGUGACUUAUAGACUUGCGUUGCCGCUGAGUUUAUCAGCUGUGCACCCAGUGUUUCAUGUGGCCAUGCUUCAGAAGUAUCAUGGCGAUCCAUCCCACGUGUUAGACUUCAGCACUGUCCAGUUGGACAAGGAUCUGACCGAUGAGGAAGAGUCGGUGGCCAUUCUGGACCGGCAGGUUCGUCAGUUGAGAUCGAAAAGUUACCCUUCUAUUUGUGUUUAAUGGAGAGGUCAGCCUGCUGAGGAAGCUACCUGGGAGUCUGAGUCCGAUAUGCGGAGCCGAUAUCCCCAUCUUUUCCCCGACCUAGGUACUUCUUUUCUAUGUCCGUUCGAGGAUGAAUGAUUGUUUUAGAGGUGGAGGAUGUGAUCACUUGAUUUACAAGUAAAUUCUGUAUUCUGAGGCCUUAAAAGCCUCCUAUUAUCUCACCUUGAUUUGCGUGCACGAUCCGGACAUAUAUCCGAAAUGCUUUUAUGUGAAAAUUUGAUGAAAAAUGCUAAUUUGGCCUUUAAAAUUGAAUUUAAGUUGACUUCGGUUAAUAUUUUGGGUAAACAAAUCCGGACCCGUGAUUUGACGGUUUCAGAGUGUCAGUAGAAAAUUAUGGGACUUGGGCGUAUGUCCGAAAUUGAAUUCCGAGGUCCCAAGCCUGAGAAAUGAAUUUUUGAAGAAAAUUGUUAACUGAAAUUAUAAAAGUUUUUGAAAAUUUAAAUGUGUUUGAAUUUGACGGUAUCGGCCCAUAUUUUGGUUCUGAAGCCCGGUACAGGUCUUAUAUGGUAUUUAAGUCGAGCCUGUAGAAUUUGGUAAGAAACGGAUUUGAUAUGACGUGAAUCAGACCCUCGAUUGUUAAAAUUGGAACUUAGAGUUAUUGAGAAUCUUCUUUGAUUUUGAUGCUAAAUUCGUUGUUAAAGGUGUUAAUUUGGCGAUUUGAUCGCACGAGUAAGUCCAUAUGAUGUUUUUGAGUUAGUGUACAUGUUUGGUUCGAGGGCUCGUGUGAGUUUUGGAUAGGCCACGUGAUGUUUUUAUACUUAGGAAAAAUUGCAGGUUUGCUGUUUCUGGUGUGUUGGUGUUUUGUUAUUCGCGUUCGCGAAGGGACUCUCGCGAAUGCGAAAGGUAAGUUAGUUUGAAGUAAAAUUCCUUUUACGCGAACGCGAAACAAAGGUCGCGAACACGAAGCCUUG
rnacentral:lncRNA from 1 species